UAAAAUAAUUAAAAAAGUGAAAGAAAAUAUAAUUACUUUCAAAAGAGUUGGUAUUUAUAUUAUUUAUACUCUAUUUAUAUCUCAACAAAACAAAUGAAACCCAGUUUUUACAUUGAAGGCCCAAAGUUCGAAUAAAGACCCGGUCCAAUAAAAGAAGAUGGAGAGUUUCCUAAAACAAAUAUCUAGCCAAGAGUAGUCAAUACUUAUCUUCACCAAGCUCCGCCGCACUUGACUGAUGUUCUCCCCAAUCUGGAUCCCUCAUUUCAUCUUCUUCCUCCUCUGGGUGACUCACAAGCUCCAUCCUUGUGUCUCCAAGAAUAUCUCAGCUCAAACUAUCAUCUUUGCCUUUGGUAAGGUAUCAAUCUUUUCCUUCAUUUGCUUUACCUACCAUUUACUAACACUCUUCAAGAUUUCAGGUGGUCGGGGUUUCUUAUCCCCACAGGACUGUUGUUUAAGAUGCUGCUAGCCCAAUUUGUACCAUUUUAUGUCAGCUCUGACUGGACAUGCACUUUAAGUUCCAACACAAAUCUGGCGUAUUGCAGUGGGAGGUUCCCUCUACCCCUUUUUUGGUGAAGUAUUUUUGGUAGCUAAGGCAACUUGCUCGGUGUAGCACAAAUUGUUUGUCUUUACUUUGACAAAACCUCUAUGUUUGUGCUUGUUGUUAUGUCGUACCUCCUUGGGAUUGUAAUUAUUGGGACCCUUUCUGCUUAUCUUUAUGUCAAGUAUCUGCUCCUUUCUCCUGUUUA